UACGGAGGGGGCUAGCGUUGUUCGGAAUUACUGGGCGUAAAGCGCGCGUAGGCGGACCUGCAAGUCGGGGGUGAAAGCCCGAGGCUCAAACCUCGGAACUGCCUUCGAUACUGCGGGUCUCGAGUCCGGGAGAGGUGAGUGGAAUUCCUAGUGUAGAGGUGAAAUUCGUAGAUAUUAGGAAGAACACCAGUGGCGAAGGCGGCUCACUGGCCCGGUACUGACGCUGAGGCGCGAAAAGCGUGGGGAG
rnacentral:rRNA from 1 species